AUACGUAGGGUGCGAGCGUUGUCCGGAUUUAUUGGGCGUAAAGCGAGCGCAGGCGGUUUCUUAAGUCUGAUGUGAAAGCCCCCGGCUCAACCGGGGAGGGUCAUUGGAAACUGGGAGACUUGAGUGCAGAAGAGGAGAGUGGAAUUCCAUGUGUAGCGGUGAAAUGCGUAGAUAUAUGGAGGAACACCAGUGGCGAAGGCGACUCUCUGGUCUGUAACUGACGCUGAGGCUCGAAAGCGUGGGGAGCAAACAGGAUUAGAUACCCUGGUAGUCCACGCCGUAAACGAUGAGUGCUAAGUGUUGGAGGGUUUCCGCCCUUCAGUGCUGCAGCUAACGCAUUAAGCACUCCGCCUGGGGAGUACGACCGCAAGGUUGAAACUCAAAGGAAUUGGCGGGG
rnacentral:rRNA from 1 species